UAGAAUAAUAUUUAAUUUAUAAAAUCUAACCUGCACUUAGAAAUUGCUUCUUGCUUAUUCUAA
rnacentral:tRNA from 1 species